GGUUGGUUGGAACUUAGCUGAGUAAUUUUGUUAAAAGUACCCAUGAACUUCGUCACACGGAUUAUAGUUCAAUGAAAAAGCGGAUCGCUGAUAACACUGAGAUGGUGCUGACUAGAUUUUGAUGAAAUUUCGCAAAUUUAUUCACAUAUUCGCACAUACGCACUUUUUUAUUGUGUGUAAGACAAUACUAUUCUUAAAAUACAUCAAAAAGAAAAAUAUCAAUCUACUCGACAUAUAGAGUUUAAAUCACUGGCUUAUCAUUUAGGGAUGACAAAGAAAACGUCAUUUAGACCAAAUUUGUCUAUUUAAGAAGAGUAUCUAGAUGAUAAAAGUUUUAAAGUAUCUCGUGAUUGUGGAGAAUGAUUUCAGACGAUAUUAGCAGUAUAUUAUUAAUUUGUUGUAUUAGUUUAGUUUCUUUGAUUUUUGGUGCAGCGAGCAAUGCAACUUCCACUAUACCAUGUCUGAUAGACAUGCUAAAUCAAUGUCCACCAAAUUCUUCAUGUGAUGAGGGCUUGUGUGUUUGUUUGCGAACAUUCAAACAAAAUCCUGAUUAUAAUAAAAAGAUAAAUAACGAUUUCUGCAUUGAAAUAGAUGCAACGUUAUCUUCUGGCAACAAAUCAAUCACAUACGACAAAGUAUACAGGAAAGCCCCAGAAGCACAUCACAUAGUAGGCGGAAUUUUGAUCCCUGUAAGUGCGGUAAUAGUGAUUUUAGCCACCAUCAUAUUAGCUAAGAAAACCCAAUUAGUGCAAAGGAUUCGCCUGUCCCUUUUUUCGAAUCGACCCAGAAGGCCCGCGUAUGAAGAUGUCGUAUUAGUAGGCUAUGAACAAUAAUUCCAAAGAAUGAAGGAUUCUUGAGCAUAAAUAAUUUUAUUGAAAGCGAACAUCAAGCAAGGCUUUGAUCCACUCGUUAUCCUAAUAUGGCGUAGUUAUCAUCAUCCACUUUGAGUUAAAUAAUUUAGAUAUGUAAAAAAAUAAUUUGAAGCUUAAGUUUUUUUUACUUGUACAUAUCAGUAUUAACUUUUUAUAAUACAUCAACAAUGUAUAUAUAUCAUAUCAAAACAAAUAACUGCAUUUAGGAAUUCCAAUCAAUUCAAUUGAUCCAACUUAUUGUAUCCCAAAAGUAACGAAUAUAAAAAAAUGUGAUUGAUUAUCAUUAAUUUUCUACGUUUAAAUAGCGAAUUAAGGAUUACUUCUGAUGUAAUGUGUACCAAAAUAAUAAACAAAUAAAAUAAAUACAGUCAGUUGUACUUACUUUCGUGCUUCAUA